AACAAAUAUUCAAAUUUACAUUUGUGAACAAAGUUAUGGUGAAUUAUAGUUCUGUGCUGUGAAUUUGGUGCUCUUGAACCUAGCAGGAAACAACAUUUUUUUUUCUGAGAAAAUAUUGUAUGCUUAUAUAUGUGAGCCUUAAUUUAUUAUUGUAGAUAUGUCGGUUUACAUACAAUUUUAUUACAUUUUAUUUUGAGCCCUUCUCUUUUAGUAUCCAAAGGCAUUUUUUUUACUAUCAAAUAAUGAGGCAACCAGUGGUAAUUAGUGAUUUUUACGGGUUCAGGGACAACACAUUCCAAAUUUAUAGCGAAAAACCAAACUUUUUAUCAGAACACAUGUAGCAGUGGUAUAAAGCCCUAUGUAUAUUCAGGUCUCUUUUUUUAAAGUUAACGUUUCAGCUCAAUAUCACACAUCGGAAGGAUUUUGUAACAAAUGGCUGUGUUACAUUAAUCUAAAGGGGAAAAACCCGAAAUUUCAGUUCAAUUUUCUUCUGCAAAAUCAUCUUAUGGUUAAUGUGAAAAGGUCGGAAGAGACUUUUCUAGUGUUUGUCAAAUCUCCGUCUCUGUGAAGACCUGCUUUAUGUGAUCAUCACAAGAGGUUUCCUGGAGUUAAAAGGAUAUAUAAAAAGACUCAAAUUGGAUUAAUGAUCUACAGUAACCCAGGAGCACUGUGUUGAACUCCGGGGUCUACAUGCCCAUCGAUGUACCCCUGAAGGAUCUUUUAUCUAUUCACAUUAUAUCUGCAAGCCAAGGACAUGAAGACAAAGGAAGAGUGAAGACGCUGACCAGAGGAACCUUGUUCUCAGCAGAAAGGUGAAAGUGUCUUCAUCAUCAGAACACAUGGGAGGACAGAUUAGCGAGACAUAAGGAAACCAACCUGGUUCUAGUCCCGAUCCGGCUGUCAAAUCGGAGAAUCAACAACCUGUUUAAAGACUUGUGUGCAAUAAACUGACACAGCGAGAUCUACAACUCAUACAUUGUUUCUUCUUACUUCAAUUAUUUAUAUCUUUCUAAUUAUUGAACGAUUCCACUGCAGGAAAAUAUUCUUCCCAUAAAUAUGAUAUAAAUUUAAAGCAGACUUGUUGGUAGUAAAUAUUUUAAUAUGAAAUUUAACCUUAUAUAUUCAUAUAUUUAAAUGUAUUUAAUAUAUCAGGUGCCAUUUUCUUUAAAUUCAUUUUUUUUCACAGUUCUAUUUAUUCAUUAUAUCAGUUUUACUAAAUUGAGGUGAAAAUAAAUUAGAGUUGUCAUCUCCAUGAGAUUGUUAUUUUAGUAAGUAAAUAAGGGUCUUUGAUUGUGUUGUUGUUGUUGUUUUGUUCCUUAUGAAUUACGGUAUAUAAAAAGGUGUAGCAAAUUGUACGGCCUGCAA